CAGAAUGGCCAGAAUCAAUUCAAGCUUCAGCCUUUUGAUGACUUCACAGAUGAAUAACAAUGUGGUAGGUUUUACUAAAAAACAACAACAAAAAAGAAGACGAAGAGGAUGAAGAAGAAGAAGAAACAGGCUUUUCCUAUUCUUCCACCCCUUUGCAGUAAGUACUUCAUUUAAAAAAGUAAAGAAUUAUUUUAUGGCCUUGAUGUUGUCAGAGACACUAAAUUUUCUACACAAACAAAAUCGGAUGACUCUGCUUGAAAAAAAUUCUUUCCUAUUAAUAUUAUGAGAUGUUUAAAAAAAAAAAAAAAGGCAUCUGGACAGUUCAUUUGAAUGGCCACAAGAGAGCAGUAAGAAAUUAAAGCUUAGGAAGAUGACUCAUAGUCACACUUUAUAUGUAUGUGUUCUGCUAUUAGGAAGAAUUGAAAGACAGACUUAUUUCUAUUUGUUCUUGAGUUUAGAAAUAUAGUUUAGAAUUUCUUAAUUUUUAAAACGGCUUUAGGAAGGGCAAUAUUGAUAGCAUUAGCUGGAAUUACUGAAAAAAACCUUAAGUUAAGACUUUUACAAACCUCAAGUUCAGGUGUGAAAAUAGAAGAAAGUACCUCCUCUGGGCAAAGGGACAUCUUGAGCAGUCAUCCGGCCCAUCCCUUCGGAUUAUUCAAGCCUGACAGAAAGAAUGAAAUCAUAUUCUUAGGGAAAUAAUAUUGACCUCUUAUUCUCCAUAAUGUAGGCAGGUAUGUACUUUCCCCUCAUUCCUCAUUCACUCCCCUCCAUGGUGUGAGCACAAAUAGCAAGCACAAAACACAUUUUUCUAAACUAGUUUGAAAUAUUUUUUCAAGAACUGAACACACUUCACAUGUAUGGCUCUCAGCUGUUUGUUUGUUUUUUAAACAGGAUGUAGCAGUAACUUCCUACAAUUUUAACCCAUUUGAAAAAUAUAUGUAUUCAAAAAGUCUUAAUGGCAAAAGAUAAAACCAAGACUCACUGACACAUUUAUAGCAGGAAAUGUGAAAACUUAUACUUCUUAUGCUUUUUUACAAGGAAAUUUUCCGUCCCCCCCAAAUGCCUAUGCAAAUAACAUGGAGCACAUGAUAAACAAAAUGUAUCUCCUAAUAAAGAUCACAUAUUUAGUAGCUAGUUAACCCA
rnacentral:lncRNA from 1 species